rnacentral:rRNA from 1 species
CCCCUAGAUGUUCUGGGCCGCACGCGCGCUACACUGAUUCAUGCAACAAGUUUUGUCCUUGGCUGAUAGGCCUGGGUAAUCUUUGAACGUGAAUCGUGAUGGGGAUAGAUGAUUGCAAUUAUUCAUCUUCAACGAGGAAUUCCUAGUAAACGCAAGUCAUCAGCUUGCAUUGAUUACGUCCCUGCCCUUUGUACACACCGCCCGUCGCACCUACCGAUUGAAUGGUCCGGUGAAAUCUUCGGAUCUGAGAGAUGUCUGAUUAAUUUCGGACGCCUUUUGGAAAAGUUGUUUAAACCUUACCAUUUAGAGGAAGGUGAAGUCGUAACA